UCGAACGGACUCUUCGGAGUUAGUGGCGGACGGGUGAGUAACGCGUGAAAAUCUGCCUACAGAUUGGGGACAACGUCGGGAAACUGACGCUAAUACCGAAUGUGCCGAGAGGUGAAAGAUUUAUCGUCUGUAGAUGAGCUCGCGUCUGAUUAGCUAGUUGGGGCGGUAACGGCGCACCAAGGCGACGAUCAGUAACUGGUCUGAGAGGAUGACCAGUCACACUGGGACUGAGACACGGCCCAGACUCCUACGGGAGGCAGCAGUGGGGAAUUUUCCGCAAUGGGCGAAAGCCUGACGGAGCAAUACCGCGUGCGGGAGGACGCUUUUUGGAGUGUAAACCGCUUUUCUCAAGGAAGAUGAUGACGGUACUUGAGGAAUCAGCAUCGGCUAACUUCGUGCCAGCAGCCGCGGUAAUACGAGGGGAUGCAAGCGUUAUCCGGAAUUAUUGGGCGUAAAGCGUUCGUAGGUGGCAAAUUAAGUCUGUUGUUAAAACGUGGAGCUUAACUCCAUAUCGGCAAUGGAAACUGGUUAGCUAGAGUAUGGUAGGGGUAACAGGAAUUCCCAGUGUAGCGGUGAAAUGCGUAGAUAUUGGGAAGAACACCAGCGGCGAAAGCGUGUUACUGGGCCA
rnacentral:rRNA from 1 species